ACCAUGGCUGAAUCCUCUGACUUACUCCCUAUGGAGUUCAGUGAAAGCGAAAUGGAUCCAGGCAUCUAUCAUCUCCUACAAGGGAGUUUGGUAACAUCAGGAGGUGGCCAGUAUCAUGAAGCCAAAACACAUGUGCUGCUGCACUGAAGAACCACGUGGCAAAUAUAUAAAAGCAUGGCCUGCAGCAUUCCACAGACACAGAAACCUUCAUGGAAUUUUACCAGCAUCAGGAUUGAUUGCCAGCUUGAGGAUUCUCUAUUGGCAGCAGGUCCAAGAGGGACACCGCUUCUUUCUCUAGAUCCAGUGAAAGUGUACUACGGGCUGGCUCUGGAGGCAGCCCGACUGCUGCAGAAUCCUCAAAUCCCUCUCUCAGAAAUGGACUUGGUAGAAUCAUGGAGUGAUCCGUGUUCUGUAUUUAAUCUUAGAUCAUGGGAAAAAGUUAAAUACUGAAAUGGGAGGCUCAGAUAAAAGUCUUAGCAACCCCAAGUAGCUCAAAAAUCAUGAGUUACCCCUCCCUCCCCAAAAAUAUCAUGAGAUUGGUUUAAAAUAUGAGAUUUUUAAAAUAUAUAAUUUGGGGGUCCUUUUUAUUUGCUGCCUUGGAUUUUGAAUCCCUGGGCACUCUUGGCUCACAUUUUCUAGCUUUUCUCUUCCAGCAUGGGGGCUAGAAACUUAUUUUUAUUUUAAAUGAAAGCUGAGAUUCUUUCCUAAUCACAUGCCUCCAGGAGAAGGCACUUUAAGAAGAACAUCAACUAUUGCAAGACUCACAAUAAAAUCACAAGCGUUGGCAACACCGGAAAUGGUUUCGCUUCAGCAAGAGAGAAAAUCCAUAAGGUAAAAUUGUUAAUUAGUCCUGGACAAAUGAGGGCAUUAAGGAAGCAGAUACUUAGAUGUAAUCAGGAAUGAGUAGGUGAGAUGCUUGUACAUGUACAGAAAUGUAAGAGAAGCUCACAUAACCAGGGACGAGACGAUAAGGUAUAGCCUACCUCACCCUGUGUCACCCAUAGGGGGUGGAAUACAGUUUUAUUGAUAUGAGACUUGUUGACAGGCCCACGGAGCAUAAAUGCACCAUCACAUCACUCUGCUGCUGUACUUAUUAGUGUUUGAACCAUUGAAAAGGUCAGCAGACUGGCUGAGAGAACAGAGGUGGUGGUGUGAUUUUUUUUUUUUUUAUCCACUUGGUGUGGACAUUUUUUCCUUCUCUCUCCGCUGUCCCUCUU